UGGGGAAUAUUGCGCAAUGGGGGAAACCCUGACGCAGCAACGCCGCGUGAAUGAAGAAGGCCUUAGGGUUGUAAAGUUCUGUCUUCUGGGAAGAUAAUGACGGUACCAGAGGAGGAAGCCACGGCUAACUACGUGCCAGCAGCCGCGGUAAUACGUAGGUGGCAAGCGUUGUCCGGAUUUACUGGGCGUAAAGGAUGCGUAGGCGGAUAUUUAAGUCAGAUGUGAAAUACCCGAGCUCAACUUGGGUGCUGCAUUUGAAACUGGAUAUCUAGAGUGUCGGAGAGGAAAGCGGAAUUCCUAGUGUAGCGGUGAAAUGCGUAGAGAUUAGGAAGAACACCAGUGGCGAAGGCGGCUUUCUGGACGAUAACUGACGCUGAGGCAUGAAAGUGUGGGGAGCAAACA
rnacentral:rRNA from 1 species